UUGAACGCUGGCGGCAUGCCUUACACAUGCAAGUCGAACGGCAGCACGGGAGCAAUCCUGGUGGCGAGUGGCGAACGGGUGAGUAAUAUAUCGGAACGUGCCCGGUCGUGGGGGAUAACGUAGCGAAAGCUACGCUAAUACCGCAUACGAUCUACGGAUGAAAGCGGGGGAUCGCAAGACCUCGCGCGAUUGGAGCGGCCGAUAUCAGAUUAGGUAGUUGGUGGGGUAAAGGCUCACCAAGCCAACGAUCUGUAGCUGGUCUGAGAGGACGACCAGCCACACUGGAACUGAGACACGGUCCAGACUCCUACGGGAGGCAGCAGUGGGGAAUUUUGGACAAUGGACGCAAGUCUGAUCCAGCAAUGCCGCGUGCAGGAUGAAGGCCUUCGGGUUGUAAACUGCUUUGUACGGAACGAAACGGUGAGCUCUAAUACAGUUUGCUAAUGACGGUACCGUAAGAAUAAGCACCGGCUAACUACGUG
rnacentral:rRNA from 1 species